rnacentral:rRNA from 1 species
GAUGAACGCUGGCGGCGUGCCUAAUACAUGCAAGUCGAACGCGAGAGGAGGGAGCUUGCUCCCUCUGAUCGAGUGGCGGACGGGUGAGUAACACGUAGGCAACCUGCCCAUCAGCCGGGGAUAACUGCGGGAAACCGUGGCUAAUACCGGAUAAUCCUCUCCACCGCGGGGUGGGGAGUUGAAAGACGGUUUCGGCUGUCGCUGGUGGAUGGGCCUGCGGCGCAUUAGCUGGUUGGAGGGGUAACGGCCCACCAAGGCAACGAUGCGUGGCCGACCUGAGCGGGUGAUCGGCCACACUGGGACUGAGACACGGCCCAGACUCCUACGGGAGGUAGCAGUAGGGAAUCUUCCGCAAUGGACGAAAGUCUGACGGAGCAACGCCGCGUGAGUGAUGAAGGCUUUCGGGUCGUAAAACUCUGUUGUUAGGGAAGAACAAGUGCUAGUUGAAUAGGCUGGCACCUUGACGGUACCUAACCAGAAAGCCACGGCUAACUACGUGCCAGCCGCCGCAGUAA